rnacentral:piRNA from 1 species
UGGGUNCAAAGCUACCAGGAAGAGUGGGC